UUCUGUAAGCCGUUGAAGGUGUGUUGUAAAGCAUGCUGGAGGUAUCAGAAGUGCGAAUGCUGACAUGAGUAACGACAAGGGGGGUGAAAAACCUCCCCGCCGGAAGACCAAGGGUUCCUGUCCAACGUUAAUCGGGGCAGGGUAAGUCGACCCCUAAGGCGAGGCUGAAAAGCGUAGUCGAUGGGAAACGGGUUAAUAUUCCCGUACUUCUUACAAUUGCGAUGGGGGGACGGAGAAGGCUAGGUGGGCCUGGCGACGGUUGUCCAGGUUCAAGUGCGUAGGCUGAGUGUUUAGGUAAAUCCGGACACUCUUAAGGCUGAGACACGACGUCGAGCUACUACGGUAGUGAAGUCAUUGAUGCCAUGCUUCCAGGAAAAGCCUCUAAGCUUCAGAUUGUAAGGAAUCGUACCCCAAACCGACACAGGUGGUCGGGUAGAGAAUACCAAGGCGCUUGAGAGAACUCGGGUGAAGGAACUAGGCAAAAUGGUACCGUAACUUCGGGAGAAGGUACGCUCUUGAUGGUGAAGUCCCUUGCGGAUGGAGCUGACGAGAGUCGCAGAUACCAGGUGGCUGCAACUGUUUAUUAAAAACACAGCACUGUGCAAAAUCGUAAGAUGACGUAUACGGUGUGACGCCUGCCCGGUGCCGGAA
rnacentral:rRNA from 1 species